rnacentral:rRNA from 1 species
CCUACGGGUCGCACCAGUGGGGAAUAUUGCACAAUGGGCGCAAGCCUGAUGCAGCCAUGCCGCGUGUAUGAAGAAGGCCUUCGGGUUGUAAAGUACUUUCAGCGGGGAGGAAGGCGAUAAGGUUAAUAACCUUGUCGAUUGACGUUGCCCGCAGAAGAAGCACCGGCUAACUCCGUGCCAGCAGCCACGGUAAUACGGAGGGUGCAAGCGUUAAUCGGAAUUACUGGGCGUAAAGCGCACGCAGGCGGUCUGUCAAGUCGGAUGUGAAAUCCCCGGGCUCAACCUGGGAACUGCAUUCGAAACUGGCAGGCUGGAGUCUUGUAGGGGGGGGUAGAAUUCCAGGUGUAGCGGUGAAAUGCGUAGAGAUCUGGAGGAAUACCGGUGGCGAAGGCGGCCCCCUGGACAAAGACUGACGCUCAGGUGCGAAAGCGUGGGAGCAAACAGGAUUAGAUACCCGGGUAGUC